UGGAUUAUAGAAUUUUGCUAGGUUGUUAGUAUGACUUAUUAUAAAAAAUAAUAAAUAAUUUAUUAUUUUUAAAAUUUCAUUAAAGAUUAUAAAAGAUUCAUUAUUUUUAAUUAUUCUGCCGAGUUGGACAAAAUAGAAUUAUUUGACCAAAUAAAAUUUCAUAAGGUUACAUGACAAAUUAUAAAAGUUUAAAGGGUUAAACUGAAAAAAAAUAGAAAAAAAAAGGUAAGACUUCGUUUGGGAUUACAGAGAGAUUAUGUUAUACGGGUGAGAAACGAUGAUAAAAAAAUAUUUUAUUUAUUUUUGUAUAUAAUAUUGUGUUUCGCAUAAUCGGUUUGAUAUAUUUUUUUACGGUGUCAUCGGAGACUUAGAAGCAUAUCUCUGUACGCUUUUUCUCAAUUCGAUUCUAUCUAGCACUGUUAGAUCAACGUAA
rnacentral:lncRNA from 1 species